rnacentral:rRNA from 1 species
GACGAACGCUGGCGGCGUGCUUAACACAUGCAAGUCGAACGGAAAGGCCCCUUUGGGGGUCCUCGAGUGGCGAACGGGUGAGUAACACGUGAGUAACCUGCCCUUGACUUCGGGAUAACUUCAGGAAACUGGGGCUAAUACCGGAUAGGAAUCCUUGCUGCAUGGUGGGGGUUGGAAAGCUUCGGCGGUUUUGGAUGGACUCGCGGCCGAUCAGCUUGUUGGUGGGGUAGUGGCUUACCAAGGCUUUGACGGGUAGCCGGCCUGGGAGGGCGACCGGCAACAGUGGGACUGGGAUACGGCCCCGACUCCGACGGGAGGCAGCAGUGGGGAAGGUUGCACAAGGGGCGGGAGCCUGAUGCAGCAACGCCGCGGGCGGGAGGACGGCCUUGGGGUUGGAAACCGAAUUCAGCAGGGGCGGAGCUUGUAGUGACGGUACCUGCAGAAGAAGCACCGGCUAACUACGUG